UGAGAAAUAGGAAUAGGCCCAGGCACAUCUGGGCCGAGCUCUUUUUGGAGGGAAAGUACAGGUGAUCAGAGACAAGUUUCUUUUUAAGGCUCAUGGGCGGAGAAGCCUACUUGAGUCUUCUGCUGGUGGAAAUGUGUUCCUGGUUUCUGCAGUGGGGGGCACUCUCAGUUCCUUGAGGGAGCUUCAUUUGCAUGUUUCCUUUUAGGAAGAUCCCUGUCCUGUUUCAUGACCCUCCAGGUGUGUGCUGUGUGGUAUGAAGCCUAGUGUUCUGCGUGGCCCUCUGACUGGGGCCCUCUGGGUCUUCAAUAAUUGACCUCAUCCAUGGAAAGCUCAGACUGGGUAGAGAAAACAGAAAAAGAAAUAACACAUCCCAGCUCAUUCUCAAGAAAGAACUUUUAUACCAAAGCCUGGCAAGGAUAUUAAAGAAAAAAGAAAAAAGACCAAACUCUCUCAUGGAUAUAGGAAUAAGAAGAACUAAUCUAUGACUACAUGGAAAAACAUGGAUGAAUCUUAAUGCUGAGAAGAAGCAGCCAGACACCCAAACAAGCAGAACUUAUCUCUGGUGAUAUAAAUCAGAAAAACAAUGAAAAUAAAAAUUGUACAAAAGCAAAAUGAAGUUAUUGCCACAGAAUAAUCCCAUAACUCAAGAGUUAAUUCUGGAAACCACCUGGCACCUUCAGUUUCAUUAGUGCUCAGAAACUUCUCUUGAGUAGAUGUCACAACACAGAAGCUAAUGGAAAUGAGAGGACAGAAUGGCGGCACUGGACCUACCAUAGAGGAAGCUGUUUCUCUGAAGCAGUUCGAGGUACUCCACGAAGCUGAAGCUCUGCCUACUCCACCAGCUGGGACAAAACAUGUAUCUGCUCUCCAGAAAACACUGUCCUUUGGGUGGAAAAGAACUGCCAUCCUGGCAGUGCCAGAAUGAAGAUCCUUCUCUGCUGGAAAUAAACAAAACCCCUUUAUCUGGGAACUUCCUUUUUCCUCCACUGAAAUCUGUGCUUCUCAAACAUGGGGCAUUAGACCAGAGGCAUAUGGAAUCAUAGGAUAAACUGGGCACAUCUUCCGGGAUGUUACUUGAAACUUUGGGGGGAAAUUGUUUUGAAUUUUCCUUCCUUAUCAAGACGGUUGCCAAAUAUGGCUUGAAGAAUAUGGACAGCAACAUAAAAUUCACAUGGCAUUUAAAGGUUAAGCAGGAGAUGUAAAAGUGGCAUGCUUUGGGGAAUGGUGAGCUGCUUUGGGUUCUGUCUUCAAAAUUCCUGGUGCAUCUUCCCACUCCUUUGCUAUUAGGAAGUACUUCUGUGGAGAGUUUUCAGCAGUGUCUAAAGCAGUCCCUGUAAAUAGCAGGCUGCUACAGGUUUGACUCACUGAAUUUGGCACCUUGUGCUGAUUUAAUGAAGAUGGAAAAAUUUUGAAAUAUUCAUGGAACUUUCUUUCCUCCUCAUACCUUAGUGUUACUGUCUGUCCCACCUCCAGCCCCCUGUCCCCAGCCCUUAUUCUUUUAUUAAUUCACUGCCUGGGAAGCAUUUGGAUUGUUACAGCAGAAAUCUGAAGAUAAACAGUCAGAGAUCCUAUCAAGAUUAUAUAUAUGUAUACUUUAAAAUUCAUAGCAGAGACAGGCAAGCCUUUUGAUUUGUAGGAGUUGUGGAUUGAACAUCAAAAGCCAGUCUUUGAAGGAAUCAAGGUGUUAUGGGUUGAAAUGUAUACCCCUGAAAUUCAUAUGUUGAAAUCCUAACCCCCAAUACCUGAGAAUGUGACCUUAUUUGGAGAUAGGAUCUUUACAGAGGUAACCCAAUUAAAAUGAGGUCUUUACGAUGGGCUCUAAUCCAACAUGAUGGGUGUCCUUAUAAAAAAGGAAUUUGGACACAGAGACACACAUAAAGGGAAGAUUAAAGAGACACAGGGAGAAGCUGGCCAUCUAUAGGCCAAGGAGAGAGGCCUGGGGCAGAUCGUUUUCUAAUCUCUCAGAAGGAAUCAACCUUGAUCCUUCUCCAAUACCUCAAUCUUGAACUUUACCCUCCAGAACUGUAGACAAUAAAUUUAUGUUGUUUAAGCCACCCAGUUUAUGGCAACCCUAGAAAACUAAUACAGCAUAAAGCUAUGCCAUAAACAACAGAUAGAAAAUAUCAUGUUUCCUCAAUCUAAAAUGUUAUCAGUUGUAAGGUACAUCCCAAUUUAAGAGAUGUCUGCGUAUAAAGAAAUAUACAUCAAUAAAAUAUGCCGGUGUACGUGAAGAAUAAAGGUGCCCUGUUCUAUAAACUAGCUACACAUGGCCUAAGCUAGAGAUGGGGAAGCACCAGAGGAGAUGUGCUAGAGCUUAUAUGGCCAUGGGUUCAUGGCAAGAGAUCCAGUGUCCUUUCUUUAUGCACUAAGCUGAGGCUUGAAGGUGGAGUGAGGUGAGUCCAAGAGCAGCGACAUUACUACCUUACUUCCAGUUCCCAUGUGUCAUCAUGUGCAGCAACAGCAAAAAUACACCAGCAAAAGGGAAGGGUGAAUGUCUGAGAUUAAUGAGUAGCACAGGAUAAUGUCCAAAACUCCUGAUCUUCCAGAUUGUUUUGAAGUAGUGAAGAGGGAGAUGGAAGAAGAGAUUGAGAGGAAGUGAGCCGGCCAACCAAAGGAGCUCUUGGUUGAGAUUAAAAGGGUGCAGAUGACCUCUUUGGACUGAAGGCCAGCCUGAGGACCAAGGACAUCAGCGAAGGAUUUGGUGGGGAUAAAGACCAAUGAGCACAGAGUGGAUGGGAAGAAGGUGGUGUGACAGAGCCCAGGGCAGUCCUCAUGUGCUCAGAUGCCUGAACCACUUUUGGUAGAACCCUGGCAGGAAAGGUGAUAGUGGUGUGAUAGUUUGAAUUGACCAGGAUUAAACUUAAAAUGAUUACCUUUACCCAGAAGUGACUGGGUUUACUUGGAAAUAACUUUGGAGGGAAUGGGGAAAGGAGCAAGACAGAAAUUAGUUCUGAUUAAAAUUAAUUUGAGAAAAAUGUAUUUGACUUUAUACACUUUUCUAGAUUUUUAAAGUUUUUUUUAAUCCAGUAUACCAAUUUUUACUUCUAACACAUUGCACAUUGCCCCCCACAUUAUAUGGAUUUCACUGCACCCAAAAGCAUUCACUUGUUUGUCUUUUUCCCCUUGGUUUCCUAACCUGCUUUGGGUUGCAGACCACUUGAGAAUCUGAUGAAAACUAUGACUUCUCUCCCUAGAAAAAUGCACAUUUGCACAUACAUAUCAAAUUUGGUGUAGAAUUGCAGGGACUUCCCAAAUACUCUGAAGCCCCUUGCAUUGUCAAAAAAAGGGAAAUAAAAAGUUGAUUUGUGUUAAUAGAAAUA